rnacentral:rRNA from 1 species
UACGUAGGGUGCAAGCGUUGUCCGGAAUUAUUGGGCGUAAAGGGCUCGUAGGCGGUCUGUUGCGUCAGGAGUGAAAACUCGGGGCUUAACCCCGAGCCUGCUUCUGAUACGGGCAGACUAGAGGUAUGCAGGGGAGAACGGAAUUCCUGGUGUAGCGGUGAAAUGCGCAGAUAUCAGGAGGAACACCGGUGGCGAAGGCGGGUCUCUGGGCAGUUAACCUGACGCUGAGGAGCGAAAGCGUGGGGAGCGAACAGG